rnacentral:rRNA from 1 species
UACACGGCCCGUACCCCAAACCGACACAGGUGAUCAGGUAGAGAAUACCAAGGCGAUCGAGAGAACUGUGGUUAAGGAACUCGGCAAAAUGCCCCCGUAACUUCGGGAGAAGGGGGACCAUGCCCGGUGAACAUCUUCACGGUGGGAGCUGGGUGUGGUCGCAGAGACCAGAGAGAAGCGACUGUUUACUAAAAACACAGGUCCGUGCGAAGACGUAAGUCGAUGUAUACGGACUGACGCCUGCCCGGUGCUGGAAGGUUAAGAGGACCGGUUAGCCGUAAGGCGAAGCUGAGAAUUUAAGCGCCAGUAAACGGCGGUGGUAACUAUAACCAUCCUAAGGUAGCGAAAUUCCUUGUCGGGUAAGUUCCGACCUGCACGAAUGGCGUAACGACUUCUCUGCUGUCUCGACCACAGACUCGGCGAAAUUGCACUACGAGUAAAGAUGCUCGUUACGCGCGGCAGGACGAAAAGACCCCGGGACCUUUACUAUAGCUUGGUAUUGGCGUUCGAUUCGGUUCGUGUAGGAUAGGUGGGAGACUGUGAAGCAUGCACGCCAGUGUGUGUGGAGUCGUUGUUGAAAUACCACUCUGAUCGUAUUGGACGUCUAACCUCGGCCCAUGAUCUGGGUUAGGGACAGUGCCUGGUGGGUAGUUUAACUGGGGCGGUUGCCUCCUAAAGAGUAACGGAGGCGCCCAAAGGUUCCCUCAGCCUGGAUGGCAAUCAGGUGUUGAGUGCAAGUGCACAAGGGAGCUUGACUGUGAGACUGACACGUCGAGCAGGGACGAAAGUCGGGACUAGUGAUCCGGCACCGGCAAGUGGAAGCGGUGUCGCUCAACGGAUAAAAGGUACCCCGGGGAUAACAGGCUGAUCUUCCCCAAGAGUCCAUAUCGACGGGAUGGUUUGGCACCUCGAUGUCGGCUCGUCGCAUCCUGGGGCUGGAGUAGGUCCCAAGGGUUGGGCUGUUCGCCCAUUAAAGCGGCACGCGAGCUGGGUUUAGAACGUCGUGAGACAGUUCGGUCUCUAUCCGCCGCGCGCGUAAGAAACUUGAGGAAGGCUGUCCCUAGUACGAGAGGACCGGGACGGACGAACCUCUGGUGUGCCAGUUGUUCCACCAGGAGCAUGGCUGGUUAGCUACGUUCGGAAGGGAUAACCGCUGAAAGCAUCUAAGCGGGAAGCCUGUUCCAAGAUGAGGUUUCUCACCACCUUGCGUGGUUAAGGCCCCCUACAGACCAUGGGGUUGAUAGGCCGGAACUGGAAGCGCAGCAAUGCGUGGAGGUGACCGGUACUAAUAGGCCGAGGGCCU